rnacentral:rRNA from 1 species
UACGAAGGGGGCUAGCGUUGUUCGGAAUUACUGGGCGUAAAGCGUGCGCAGGCGGUUCGUUAAGUUCGUCGUGAAAGCCCCGGGCUCAACCUGGGAAUGGCGAUGGAAACUGGCGGGCUGGAGUGCGGCAGAGGGGGGUGGAAUUCCACGUGUAGCAGUGAAAUGCGUAGAUAUGCGGAGGAACACCGAUGGCGAAGGCAAUCCCCUGGGCCUGCACUGACGCUCAUGCACGAAAGCGUGGGGAGCAAACAGG